CCCGUACUCCCUCCGUCCGAAAAUACUUGUCAUCAAAAUGGAUAAAAGGGGAUGUAUCUAGAUGUAUUUUAGUUCUAGAUACAUCUCUUUUUAUUCAUUUUGAUAACAAGUAUUUCCGGACGAAGGGAGUACUAU
rnacentral:pre_miRNA from 1 species